UUUGAAAAUGAUGAGCCGCUUGCCCUCACUGAGAACAAAGUUUGGUACUGAAAAUGUAAAUAUCACAAA